CCAGUGCCAGGGAUCAGGGGUAAGGAGAACGGAGAAUGACUACUUAACAGGUACAGGGUCUCCUUUUUUGGAGUGAUAAAAAUGUUCUGGAAUUUGAUAGUGGUGAUGGUUGCAUAACAUUGUGAAGGUACUGAAAGUCACUGAAUUAUACAGUUUGAAAUGAUUUAUUUCCCUCCAGAACCUGACCAUGCUGGCACCCUGAUCUCAGACUUCCAGCCUCCAGAACUGUAAGGAAAUCAAUUUCUGUUGUGCAAGCCACCCAGUCUGUGGUAUUUUGUUACGGCAGCCUGAGCUGACGAAGACGAAGGGAGAUCUGUAGAAGAUACAAAGAGCACAGAGAAGAAUGGAGCCUCACAGCUCUGGGGAAAUCAAGAAAGCCUUCGUUGAGAAGAUGAUCUUGCAUUGAGUUCUCCAGGAGUUUAAGAUUCUUUGCUGCCAUUUCUAGGGAUAUGCGGCAGGAGUGGAUACAGCUUUGUGUUCUCAGAGAACCAUCUUGAUCCAUUUGCUGGAGCAUUCCUUGUUGAAGGCAAAAGCUGGACAGAUGCUCCAGGAUGUAUAGGAUGAGACUUGACCAGGAGAUCUGACUCGGGAGGAGGGAACUUGGCUGUGGAAACUCCAGAUCACAUAGAUAGAGAGAGAAGCUGGGGAUCUAGUGAUGAACAACACAGAAAUCCAUCUAUUCAUGGAGUUUGUAUUCCAGAGCAUGGUGAAACUCAAUUCAAAGAAUCGUAGAAGGGAAGCUGAAAAGAAGACAAAGACUCAAGUUGGAACGUUCUUUCACUAACUCUGGA
rnacentral:lncRNA from 1 species